UCUGCGGGGUGGCGGGACCGCGGAAUCGCAAAUAUGACUGAAGCUGACGUAAAUCCAAAGGCCUACCCCCUCGCAGACGCCCACCUCACCAAGAAACUACUGGACCUUGUUCCGCAGUCAUGUAACUACAAGCAGCUUCGGAAAGGAGCCAAUGAAGCCACCAAAACCCUCAACAGAGGCAUCUCUGAGUUCAUCGUGAUGGCUGCAGACGCUGAGCCCCUGGAGAUCAUCCUGCACCUUCCACUGCUAUGUGAGGAUAAGAAUGUGCCCUACGUGUUUGUGCGCUCCAAGCAGGCCCUCGGGCGGGCCUGCGGGGUUUCCAGGUCUGUCAUCGCCUGUUCUGUCACCGUCAAAGAAGGCUCACAGCUGAAGCAGCAGAUCCAGUCUAUUCAGCAGUCCAUUGAAAGGCUCUUAGUCUAAACCAGUGGCCUCUGCCCGCCCCCCCGAAUCCUCCCCCUGGGGUUGUGUAUCAUAUUGUCUGUAUCGUCAUGUAGUUUCUCCAGCUACCUUCUCAUUAGAUUCU